UACGUAGGGGGCAAGCGUUGUCCGGAAUUAUUGGGCGUAAAGAGCUCGUAGGCGGUUUGUCGCGUCUGCUGUGAAAACUCAGGGCUUAACUCUGAGCUUGCAGUGGGUACGGGCAGACUAGAGUGCGGUAGGGGAGACUGGAAUUCCUGGUGUAGCGGUGAAAUGCGUAGAUAUCAGGAGGAACACCGAUGGCGAAGGCAGGUCUCUGGGCCGAUAACUGACGCUGGAGGAGCGAAAGCGUGGGGAGCGAACAGG
rnacentral:rRNA from 1 species